AGAGUUUGAUCCUGGCUCAGAGUGAACGCUGGCGGCAGGCCUAACACAUGCAAGUCGAACGGCAGCACAGUGGUAGCAAUACCAUGGGUGGCGAGUGGCGGACGGGUGAGGAAUACAUCGGAAUCUACUUUUUCGUGGGGGAUAACGUAGGGAAACUUACGCUAAUACCGCAUACGACCUCCGGGUGAAAGCAGGGGACCUUCGGGCCUUGCGCGAUUAAAUGAGCCGAUGUCGGAUUAGCUAGUUGGCGGGGUAAAGGCCCACCAAGGCGACGAUCCGUAGCUGGUCUGAGAGGAUGAUCAGCCACACUGGAACUGAGACACGGUCCAGACUCCUACGGGAGGCAGCAGUGGGGAAUAUUGGACAAUGGGCGCAAGCCUGAUCCAGCCAUGCCGCGUGGGUGAAGAAGGCCUUCGGGUUGUAAAGCCCUUUUGUUGGGAAAGAAAAGCAGUCGGCCAAUACCCGAUUGUUCUGACGGUACCCAAAGAAUAAGCACCGGCUAACUUCGUGCCAGCAGCCGCGGUAAUACGAAGGGUGCAAGCGUUACUCGGAAUUACUGGGCGUAAAGCGUGCGUAGGUGGUGGUUUAAGUCCGUUGUGAAAGCCCUGGGCUCAACCUGGGAAUUGCAGUGGAUACUGGGUCACUAGAGUGUGGUAGAGGGUAGCGGAAUUCCCGGUGUAGCAGUGAAAUGCGUAGAGAUCGGGAGGAACAUCUGUGGCGAAGGCGGCUACCUGGACCAACACUGACACUGAGGCACGAAAGCGUGGGGAGCAAACAGGAUUAGAUACCCUAGUAGUCC
rnacentral:rRNA from 1 species